UUCUAUUCUAUUCUAUUCUAUUCAGUAAGGUCCAAUCCCCACGAAAUUAAAGGAACCCUACCUUUCACAAAUGGCAUGAGCAUUAGCCAAAUGUUAUGUUCUUGUAAAGCAGAAAAUAGUGGAAAAUGUAAACAUGUCUCUACUCUUGUUAAAUGGAAAAUGUGAAAUUAAUGGAACAUUCAGUAUAUAAGUUGAAAAAAAUGUUAACAGAUUGGCAAAUGAAGACCAUUUUUAAUUGAUCUAAACAUUUAUAGAAACAAA
rnacentral:lncRNA from 1 species